rnacentral:rRNA from 1 species
UACGAAGGGUGCAAACGUUGCUCGGAAUUAUUGGGCGUAAAGCGCACGUAGGCGGCUUGGCAAGUCGGAUGUGAAAGCCCACGGCUCAACCAUGGAAGUGCAUCCGAAACUGCUGAGCUUGAGUACUUAAGAGGAUCGCGGAAUUCCCGGUGUAGAGGUGAAAUUCGUAGAUAUUCGCAAGAACACCAGCGGCGAAGGCGGCUCACUGGCCCGAUACUGACGCUGAGGCACGAAAGCGUGGGGAGCAAACAGG